GACCCUUUUAAAAACCCUCUCUACGAAAACCUCUCUCUAUAAACAAAUCACACUUGCAUCAAAUACAAACCCUCUGCAAAUAACAAAAAUUAAAACACACAGACAAGAAAAUAAAAAAUGGGUCUGAUUAGCAAAGAAGAGAUCAGCAAAACAAGAAGAUACUCAUCUUCUCUUUGGAGAUGCAUCAAGACCAUCUUCGUUCUCUUCACUAUGUUCCUCUCUUACAUCCUCUUCUCUGCUCCUAUCUUCCUCUCUGUCGCAGACGCCGUCCUACCCUCCAUCAUCCUCUCAUCCUUCUCUUCUCUCCUUCGUCUUUCUCCGUCGACUGUUUCUUCUCAUAUAAGCAACUACGAUUUCAGAUACUCCCUCAUCGAUAUUCCUCUCAUCUCCAUCAUUAGAUCUGCCAUUAUUCUCUGUGUUUACGGGCUCUGUGACGGACCAAAGCUAUCAAGGGGACCAUAUCUGUCCAUGACGAUGAUAUGCUCGAUAUGUUCAUUAAUCUACGUGUCUUUUAAGGCAGCUGUUGUGUUCGGCGAGCCAGUGGUCGGAGACGGGGGAGGAAAGUUUAGAACAGAGGAAGUGGCUCUGUUUGUGUGUUCGUGGGUCUUAGCCAUCGGUCAUAUCGUUGUGGCGUACAGAACGAGUUGUAGAGAGAGAAGAAAGCUCUUAGUCUUCAAGAUCGACAUCGAAUCCGUUUCAGCUUGUAAAAAUGUGUUUCCCAGAUACCCGAAGAUCCUUCUACAAGAGAGACUCAAAUAGCUAAUAUUAGAAGACUAUCAACACUUGUACAUAUAUAUACUUACGAUACAGUUAUAUAUAUAUAUAAAAAUACACGUAUCAAAUUCAACGUCUUCUGGGAUUUGUUUUCUCCUUACAAGUAUCAGAAAGGUCCAGAGGAUAAUCUGUAAAGGAGGGAAGAACAGAUAACGAAUGGGCCUUAAUAUAACACUAUUGCUUUUCGAUGUGACACUAUCUAAGACAGCUCCAAUGAAUUGGCAGUUGUUUACUAUAUUAUAGAUUUAAAAUUAGGUAGACACACACACACACACAAAGAAUCGUUGUAGGAGGUUUUGUUUUCCCUUACUUUUAACGAAUGAUUCCCUUACUUUUAACGAAUGAUCCACCGUUACACUUUUGUCUUUUUGUUUUGUUUGUAUAAACCUUAUUUUCACUAAUGAAAUAAGAAGCCGAAGGCAUCUUUCUCCCA